rnacentral:rRNA from 1 species
AUUGAACGCUGGCGGCAGGCCUAACACAUGCAAGUCGAACGAGUGGCGGACGGGUGAGUAAUGUCUGGGAAACUGCCCGAUGGAGGGGGAUAACUACUGGAAACGGCAGCUAAUACCGCAUACCAUCGGAUGUGCCCAGAUGGGAUUAGCUAGUAGGUGGGGUAACGGCUCACCUAGGCGACGAUCCCUAGCUGGUCUGAGAGGUUGACCAGCCAAACUGGAACUAGGACACGGACCAGACUCCUACGGAAGGCAGCAGUGGGGAAUAUUGCACGAUGGGCGCAAGCCUGAUGCAGCCAUGCCGCGUGUAUGAAGAAGGCCUUCGGGUUGUAAAGUACUUUCAGCGAAGAGGCGUUACUCGCAGAAGAAGCACCGGCUAACUCCGUGCCAGCAACCGCGGUAAUAC